rnacentral:lncRNA from 12 species
AGGGGCUCCAGGAAUAGGGGACCCCAGGAACAGGAAUGGGAAUGGAAGGGGUGAUCCCAAGAACUGGGAUGAGGAAUAAGGGGGACCCUGCUGCAGUUUGGGGGUCCCAGAAACAGCAUGAGGAGAAUAAGGGGGGACCCCAGGAACAGGAAUGGGAAUGGAAGGGGUGAUCCCAAGAACUGGGAUGAGGAAUAAGGGGGACCCUGCUGCAGUUUGGGGGUCCCAGAAACAGCAUGAGGAGAAUAAGGGGGGACCCCAGGAACAGGAAUGGGAAUGGAAGGGGUGAUCCCAAGAACUGGGAUGAGGAAUAAGGGGGACCCUGCUGCAGUUUGGGGGUCCCAGAAACAGCAUGAGGAGAAUAAGGGGGGACCCCAGGAACAGGAAUGGGAAUGGAAGGGGUGAUCCCAAGAACUGGGAUGAGGAAUAAGGGGGACCCCGCUGCAGUUUGGGGGUCACAUGUCCCUGUUUCCCCCCAUUCCCGACCCACCCCUGUGCCGAGCAGUGUCGGGAUCCCCCCUGGAGCACGGGGACCCCCCCAGAAGUGGUUAAAGAAGGAGGAAAAGAGUGGAAAAGCAGCAGGGGAGCUGGCGGCGGCGGGGGGCAGCGGGGUCCCCCCGGCGCGUCCCCGGCAGGAGCGGGACGCGGCGCCCCCAGAAUGCGGGGACGGUUCCUGGGUUGCAGGUGGAGACGAGACCCUGCGGAAUUCCGUGGAUUCCCAGAGCGGCAGCGAGUCCCUGGAUGGUGAGUGUGGAAAACCCCUGGGAUCUCUCGUCCCAAAAAUCCCUGGGAAGAGCCUCAAGCGUGGAAAAUCCCAUCCCAAUCCCAACCCCAAAAUUUGGUGCCGGUUCCUCUUGCCUCCCC